UCGCUCUUCAACGAGGAAUCCCUAGUAAGCACAAGUCAUCAGCUUGUGUUGAUUACGUCCCUGCCCUUUGUACACACCGCCCGUCGCUACUACCGAUUGAAUGGCUUAGUGAGACCUUCGGAUUGGCAUUUGGAAGUUGGCAACAGCCUCUGUUUGCUGAGAAGUUGGUCAAACUUGGUCAUUUAGAGGAAGUAAAAGUCGUAACAAGGUUUCCGUAGGUGAACCUGCGGAAGGAUCAUUAAUGAUUUUUAAAGCAAACCUUUUUUUUUUAAUAAAAAAGUAGUUUGCGAACAUAUUUAAAACCCCACUCUUUUAAAAAAAAUUCUUAUUCAUAUUCAUGAAUAAAAAAAGAUCACUUUCAACAACGGAUCUCUUGGCUCUCGCAUCGAUGAAGAACGCAGCGAAAUGCGAUAAGUAGUGUGAAUUGCAGAUGUAUACGUGAAUCAUCGAAUCUUUGAACGCAAAUUGCACUCCCUGGUAUUCCGGGGAGUAUGCCUGUUUGAGGGUCGCCUAAAUAACAACAUCGAUUAGCGUUGCCUUUCUUUCGAAAGGUAAUGUUUUAUCGGAUUUGAGCCUUCUUUAUCAUUCUUUAACGAGAAACGAAGUGGCUUAAAAUUCAUUUUUUUUUGGUAUCAUCGAAAACGUAUUUUACGAUCAAUUUUUGAUUCAAGGAAACGUUUCGGAUGCCACCCUUUUUAAAUGUAAUACGUUUUGACUAUGUGAAAUCUAGUUCAAUUCGUAUACGAUUCUUUUUCAUUUUUUGACCUCAAAUCACGUAAGAGUACCCGCUGAACUUAAGCAUAUCAAUAAGCGGAGGAAAAGAAAAUAACAAUGAUUCCCUUAGUAACUGCGAGUGAAGAGGGAUAAGCUCAAAUUUUAAAUCUGUUUGGUCCUACUGAACAGAGUUGUAAUUUGGAGAAACGUUUCUGCGUCUCGAGUUAAUCAAAAUCCUCUGGAAUGGGGUAUCAUGGAGGGUGACAAUCCCGUUCAUGGUUAAUUCUCGGAUGCUUUAUGAUACGUUUUCGAAGAGUCGAGUUGUUUGGGAUUGCAGCUCAAAAUGGGAGGUAAAUUUCUCCUAAAGCUAAAUAUUGGCGAGAGACCGAUAGCGAACAAGUACCGUGAGGGAAAGAUGAAAAGAACUUUGAAAAGAGAGUUAAAUAGUACGUGAAAUUGUUGAAAGGGAAACGAUUGAAGUCAGUCGUACCAACGGGAAAUCAACCUUUCGAGCGGGGUUUUGGGAUUUCAAAGAGUUUCAAAGCCUUUGGGGUUUCAAAAUUUCUUCUCUUCUGGUGUACUUUCUCGUAGGUAGGUCAACAUCGAUUUUGAACAUCAUAAAAAGACUGGAGGAAUGUAGCUUCGAUCUCGUAUUGAAGUGUUAUAGACUUUGGUAAAUGUGAUGAUCAAGAUCGAGGAUUGCAACGAAUAUCCUUUUGGGCUAUUCGUCUGAUCUCUGAUCAUUGCCUUGGUAUCGAAAGCUUGCUUAUGAUAUUAAGGUAUUAUGGUCAAAAGGUUAGAACGGAUUACAUUCGUUAAGGAUGUUGACGUAAUGGCUUUAAACGACCCGUCUUGAAACACGGACCAAGGAGUCUAACAUAUGUGCGAGUGUUU
rnacentral:rRNA from 1 species